CUUCAUAAACAAGGUUUCACAUCAUUCCAAACUAUUUUUUAGGGUAUAAGGUGGCAAAAGAUAUUAUUUGAGUACUCCAGUGAUGUUUCCAGUACCACAUCAUCAUUCACUCACUGGAAUAGCAGGUGUGAGACUGAGGAGGCUUCACUGGUGCUGAUGCCAUGAAUGGAGAAAGACGCUGCUGGAUAAUUCAAGCAAGGGAGGAGUCUGAGCAGUGGUAAUAUACACUGGCCAUUGUGCAUUCAGCCCUCACAUACAGAAAAUACUGAAUUCUAGCCAAGAAGGACAGAGUAUUUUGCUUCGUUUGUGAACAGAAGAGCAUUGCCUGGAGGACUUCCUCGUUAAUGCCAAUAAAAGCAGAAGCCAGACAAGCUUGCCUGACCGCACUUCCCAGCUGUAAGGAGUGGAUUCCAUCUGACUAUUAAACAGAACUCCAUUUCCAAAUGGAUCUAUAAAAGGCAUGAUGAGGUAGCCAGAAUGGAUUCCCCGCACUUAUUAGACUAUACUCUGCAGAGUAUAAGUGGCAUCCUGAAAUACGUGUCCAUCAGAGAUGCGAAUUCUGGCUGCUGUUUUUAGACUACUUGUAUGUUUGUUCACAAGACCUAUUUGGAGCCCCCUAAGCAGACUCUGCAUUCAUCAAAGUCAUGCUUCUAUUGCUGUUUGUCCAGGAUUCUUGUAUCUACCUUUGCAUUGAACUAAAUCUUGCUUUUGAGGUGCCUACACUGGAAUAUGGAUAUGGAAUAUUUGUAAAUGGGAGAAGAAAAUUACAUGAGUCACGUGAAGAAUGUAUCAUAUAUCACCUUCCACCACCUUUCUUGAUAUCUGGCACAUCUGAAACUUUACAGUUGAAAAGAAAUGAAAAAAGUAGAAAAACUGAUUGCCUUGAUGCAAAGCAUGGAGAACUGCAGCACACACCACUGCAGGCACUGCCAGGCAAGAUCUGAGCUCAGAAGAACACAACCUGCGUACUGGUGAUGUGCAUAUCUGUACAAGCUCCUCUGGAAGAAGUCUAGCUGCUGCUUGUUAAGCAGCUUCUUUUUUUCCUGACGCUCACUGGAAGGAAGCUGUAUAGCUUGGGAGCCUGGACCUUAACUAUUUACUUGCCAUCUUUUAUUAGAAGAGUGAAUCCAGGAUGUCCACUUCUAAAGGACACAGGUCUUUCUAGAAAGGAUAUACAGCUCUCCAUGUUAGUGAAUUUCAAGGAUUCUUGCUGUUGGCUGGCAGCACCUUUCACCACCUUUAUCAGUAACAGGUAGGAGGAGCAUUAUUAUCUCCCUAUAAACUGUAUUCUACUGUAUCUUAGGUGAAGUGUUCUUUCUGUGCACAUCUGUGUUGGAUCAUUUGCCAUAUUGAACUUGGCUGGCAGCCUUAAGGUCAUGGCUGUGUGCUAAGAUUGCCUUCAAUCUGUUCAGUGAAGCAAGUAAAACAGAUGUGUUCAUGGUUCCUGAAUACUAUGGUGACUAGUGAGUGUUGGAAAUAGUGGGAAAAGGAAUGACAGUGAAUGACAUGAUUGACCUGAAGUUAUCAGGAUUGAGUCUGGGAAAACAGAAUUUUGAAAAGCACUGUAUGAUAAGAUUAAAGUAGUUUAUAAAGAAACUAAAAUUAAUUUAAUUCUAAAUAACAUCUUAAAUUGAUACGUCUUUUCUUCUGUUUCCAAAUUUUCAUAGAAAUGAUUCCUAACAUCUGGUCUUAGUCUAGAGAAUUUAAGUGAGAUUCUUUGCACAACUACAUUGUUUUCUUAUGAAUUUCAUUUGCAAAAAUUUCUUAAAGAAUGCUGAGAGGUUGAGAUGGACAUGUUGGCAUUGCAUCUGUAAACAGAAUCUCGUGUUGGAUUUCAAAUCUUGGUCUUGGUUGCUUUUCAAUGCAUUGGGUCUGUAGCUGUGAAACAAUCAUAGCAUGUUACUGGGUCUUGCAACAAUGGUGACAAUGGCAGACAAAUUCUGGUGCAAGCACAGGAACAGGAAGUGCGUGCAUAGAGCUAGAGCAAGAUUUAAAGUCACAUAAGGAGAUAUGAUGACUUUCAAGUUUGAUGGGAAUAAUGAGAGUAACUGGAAGAGACUGGGAAACAGGAAUUUUGACAUCUUUGGCAUAUGUUGUUAGCUGAUGUUGUCUUCCAUUUAGAAAGGAAGAAUGCUUCAGAAAUCACGGCAAAUCUGAUUUUAUUUUUUAAUUUCCAGAUUUACAAAUAAAAAACUCUAACCU